rnacentral:rRNA from 1 species
CGGUGGGGCAGGCCUACAAUGCAAGUCGAACGGUAACAGGAAUCAGCUUGCUGAUUUGCUGACGAGUGGCGGACGGGUGAGUAAUGUCUGGGAAACUGCCUGAUGGAGGGGGAUAACUACUGGAAACGGUAGCUAAUACCGCAUAAUGUCGCAAGACCAAAGAGGGGGACCUUCGGGCCUCUUGCCAUCGGAUGUGCCCAGAUGGGAUUAGCUAGUAGGUGGGGUAACGGCUCACCUAGGCGACGAUCCCUAGCUGGUCUGAGAGGAUGACCAGCCACACUGGAACUGAGACACGGUCCAGACUCCUACGGGAGGCAGCAGUGGGGAAUAUUGCACAAUGGGCGCAAGCCUGAUGCAGCCAUGCCGCGUGUAUGAAGAAGGCCUUCGGGUUGUAAAGUACUUUCAGCGGGGAGGAAGGGAGUAAAGUUAAUACCUUUACUCAUUGACGUUACCCGCAGAAGAAGCACCGGCUAACUCCGUGCCAGCAGCCGCGGUAAUACGGAGGGUGCAAGCGUUAAUCGGAAUUACUGGGCGUAAAGCGCACGCAGGCGGUUUGUUAAGUCAGAUGUGA